UACGUAGGGGGCUAGCGUUGUCCGGAUUUAUUGGGCGUAAAGAGCGUGUAGGCGGCCAGGUAGGUCUGCUGUGAAAACUCGAGGCUCAACCUCGAGACGUCGGCGGAAACCAUCUGGCUAGAGUCCGGAAGAGGAGAGUGGAAUUCCUGGUGUAGCGGUGAAAUUCGUAGAUAUCCGGAAGAACACCGAUGGCGAAGGCAACCACCUGGGCCUGCACUGACGCUGAGGUACGAAAGCUAGGGGAGCAAACGGG
rnacentral:rRNA from 1 species